rnacentral:lncRNA from 12 species
AGAAUAGAAUUUCUCUCACUGGGAAAAGUCCCCUAAGUAAAAAUACCCGGUUCUAUGAAAUUUAUUGAUCAUAAAGGGGAAGUAUUCUUGCAAAAGUGCUGCUAAGCGACCGGGGCUCUAUUGAUACAUAACACUUAUAUGGCUCAGUACUACUGAGAAACUCUCUCAUGUGCUCUCUGGGAAAAACCAGUUCAGACAAAUUCCUAAUGAGACUUUACCCAUCUUUAUAUCACUUGCAGAUAGCCACUUGGCUGUAUGCCUACGGAUAUUAAACCCUGGGAGAUGGGACAAGGCUUUGCUUGGGGUCUCAUUCGGCCUGGCCCCUCCUCACGCUCCGACUCUCUUCCCACUGGGCACAAGCCACAGAUUCUGAAAUGGCUGAAAACCGUCAAGAACUUCUAUUUUAUUUGAUUGCCAACAAUGAGAUAAGCAGCUCAGCUCCUGAUCUACACUGAGUGAACUAUGAAAUUUGAAUAAGAAAUAUGAACCUUUGGGUACCUUCUUGUAUGAAAAUUGUCAUCUUUCUAGUCCAAAGGUACGUCUCUGGGGACUGUAAUCCUAUGUGCAUUAUGAAAUGAUGUGGGAUAAGCCCUGUAGAGGAAGAACAGAAUACCAUCUAACUUGCAGUCAUCAUCUGGGAUAGUAACUGUCUUAAGUGGUAAAAAAUUA